GACGAACGCUGGCGGCGUGCCUAAUACAUGCAAGUCGAACGCAGUGGGGACGGGUGAGCAACACGUGGGUAACCUUCAAUCAGAGGGGAGAACACUUGGAAACAGGUGCUAAACCGAUACUGCUGGAUGAACCGGCGGUGCAUUAGCUGGUUGGUGAGGUAAAGGCUUACCAAGGCCAUGAUGCAUAGCCGGCCGGAGAGGAUGAUCGGCCACACUGGAACUGAGACACGGCCCAGACUCCUACGGGAGGCAGCAGUAGGGAAUAUUCGACAAUGGGCGAAAGUCUGACCGAGCAAUGCCGCGUGUGUGAAGAAGGUUUUCGGAUCGUAAAGCUCUGUUAUUAGGGAAGCGGUAUCUAACCAGUAAGCCACGGCUAACUACGUGCCAGCAGCCGCGGUAAUAC
rnacentral:rRNA from 1 species